UACAGAGGGGGCAAGCGUUGUUCGGAAUUACUGGGCGUAAAGCGUGCGUAGGUGGUUUGUUAAGUCUGAUGUGAAAGCCCUGGGCUCAACCUGGGAACGGCAUUGGAAACUGGCUUACUAGAGUGCGGUAGAGGGGUGUGGAAUUCCCGGUGUAGCAGUGAAAUGCGUAGAUAUCGGGAGGAACAUCUGUGGCGAAGGCGACACCCUGGACCAGCACUGACACUGAGGCGCGAAAGCGUGGGGAGCAAACAGG
rnacentral:rRNA from 1 species